UAGUGCUACAGGCAGAUUAAUGGGAGAGUGGUGCUACAGGCAGAUAGAUGGGAGAGUGGUGCUACAGGCAGAUAGAUGGGAGAGUGGUGCUACAGGCAGAUAGAUGGGAGAGUAGUGCUAUAGGCAGAUAGAUGGGAGAGUAGUGCUAUAGGCAGAUAGAUAGGAAAGUAGUGCUACAGGCAGAUAGAUAGGAAAGUGGUAUUACAGGCAGAUACAAUAAAUGGGAGAGUUCAGGCAGAUAGAUGGAAGGGUAGUGAUAUAGGCAGGCACAAUAGAUGGAAGAGUAAUGCUAGAGGCAGAUAAAUAGUAGAAUUGAGCUACAGGCAGAUAUAUAGGAGAGUGGAAAUACAGGCAAAUAAGAGAGUAGCAUUUCAGGUUGACAGAUAGAACAGAGCUACAGGCAGGUAGAAGGGAGAGUGGUACUUCAGGCAGAUAGAUGGGAGGGUAGUGAUAUAGGCAAUCACAAUAGAUGGGAGAGUAAUGCUAGAGGCAGAUAAAUAGUAGAAUGGAGCUACAGGCAGAUAUAUAGGAUAGUGGAAAUACAGGCAAAUAAGAGAGUAGCAUUUCAGGUGGACAUAUAGAACAGAGCUACAGGCAAAUAGGAGAGUGGAGCUACAGAUAGGUAGAUAUGAAAGUGGUAUUACAGGCAGAUACAAUAAAUGAGAGAGUGGUACUUCAGGCAGAUAGAUUGGAGGGUGGUGAUAUAGGCAGGCACAAUAGAUGGGAGAGUGAAGCUAGAGGCAGAUAAAUAGUAGAAUGGAGCUACAGGCAGAUAUAUAGGAGAGUGGAAAUACAGGCAGAUAAGAGAGUAGCAUUUCAGGUGGACAGAUAGAACAGAGCUAUGGGCAAAUAGGAGAGUGGUGCUACAGGCACAUAGAAGGGAGAGUAGUGCUACAGGCAGAUAGAUGGGAGAGUAGUGUUACAGGCAGAUAGAUGGGAGAGUGGUGCUACAGGCAGAUAGAUAGGAAAGUAGUGCUACAGGCAGAUAGAUAGGAAAGUGGUAUUACAGGCAGAUACAAUAAAUGGGAGAGUUCAGGCAGAUAGAUGGGAGGGUAGUGAUAUAGGCAGGCACAAUAGAUAGAAGAGUAAUGCUAGAGGCAGAUAAAUAGUAGAAUUGAGCUACAGGCAGAUAUAUAGGAGAGUGGAAAUACAGGCAAAUAAGAGAGUAGCAUUUCAGGUUGACAGAUAGAACAGAGCUACAGGCAGGUAGAAGGGAGAGUGGUACUUCAGGCAGAUAGAUGGGAGGGUAGUGAUAUAGGCAAUCACAAUAGAUGGGAGAGUGAUGCUAGAGGCAGAUAAAUAGUAGAAUGGAGCUACAGGCAGAUAUAUAGGAGAGUGGAAAUAUAAGCAAAUAAGAGAGUA